rnacentral:rRNA from 1 species
GACGAACGCUGGCGGCGUGCUUAACACAUGCAAGUCGAACGAAGUGGCGAACGGGUGAGUAACGCGUAAUCAACCUGCCCUUCAGAGGGGGACACCAGUGGGAAACGCCUGCUAAUACCGAAAACUGAGGGGGGGGAUGGGGUCUGAUUAGCUAGUUGGAGGGGUACGGGCCCACCAAGGCGAUGAGCAGUAGCCGGUCUGAGAGGAUGAACGGCCACAUUGGGACUGAGACACGGCCCAGACUCCUACGGGAGGCAGCAGUGGGGAAUCUUCCGCAAUGGACGAAAGUCUGACGGAGCAACGCCGCGUGAGUGAUGACGGCCUUCGGGUUGUAAAGCUCUGUUAAUCGGGACGCGGUACCGGAAUAGAAAGCCACGGCUAACUACGUGCCAGCAGCCGCGGUAAUUC